AGAGUUUGAUCCUGGCUCAGAUUGAACGCUGGCGGAACGCUUUACACAUGCAAGUCGAACGGUAACGCGGAGAGAAGCUUGCUUCUCUCCGGCGACGAGUGGCGAACGGGUGAGUAAUACAUCGGAACGUGUCCGCUCGUGGGGGACAACCAGCCGAAAGGUUGGCUAAUACCGCAUGAGUUCUACGGAAGAAAGAGGGGGACCCGCAAGGGCCUCUCGCGAGCGGAGCGGCCGAUGACUGAUUAGCCGGUUGGUGAGGUAACGGCUCACCAAAGCAACGAUCAGUAGCUGGUCUGAGAGGACGACCAGCCACACUGGGACUGAGACACGGCCCAGACUCCUACGGGAGGCAGCAGUGGGGAAUUUUGGACAAUGGGCGCAAGCCUGAUCCAGCUAUUCCGCGUGUGGGAUGAAGGCCCUCGGGUUGUAAACCACUUUUGUAGAGAACGAAAAGACACCUUUUAAAAAAGGGUGUUGCUGACGGUACUCUAAGAAUAAGCACCGGCUAACUACGUGCCAGCAGCCGCGGUAAUACGUAGGGUGCGAGCGUUAAUCGGAAUUACUGGGCGUAAAGGGUGCGCAGGCGGUUGAGUAAGACAGAUGUGAAAUCCCCGAGCUUAACUCGGGAAUGGCAUAUGUGACUGCUCGACUAGAGUGUGUCAGAGGGAGGUGGAAUUCCACGUGUAGCAGUGAAAUGCGUAGAUAUGUGGAAGAACACCGAUGGCGAAGGCAGCCUCCUGGGACAUAACUGACGCUCAGGCACGAAAGCGUGGGGAGCAAACAGGAUUAGAUACCCUGGUAGUCCACGCCCUAAACGAUGUUAACUAGUUGUUGGGAAGUAAAAUUCUCAGUAACGCAGCCAACGCGAGAAGUUAACCGCCUGGGAAGUACGGUCGCAAGACUAAAACUCAAAGGAAUUGACGGGGACCCGCACAAGCGGUGGAUGAUGUGGAUUAAUUCGAUGCAACGCGAAAAACCUUACCUACCCUUGACAUGUCAGGAAGCUCUUGUAAUGAGAGCGUGCCCGCAAGGGAGCCUGAACACAGGUGCUGCAUGGCUGUCGUCAGCUCGUGUCGUGAGAUGUUGGGUUAAGUCCCGCAACGAGCGCAACCCUUGCUAUUAGUUGCUACGCAAGAGCACUCUAAUAGGACUGCCGUUGACAAAACGGAGGAAGGUGGGGACGACGUCAAAUCAUCAUGCCCCUUAUGUCCUGGGCUACACACGUAAUACAAUGGCGGUCAACAGAGGGAAGCAAAGCCGCGAGGCAGAGCAAACCCCCAAAAGCCGUCCCAGUUCGGAUUGUAGGCUGCAACUCGCCUGCAUGAAGUCGGAAUCGCUAGUAAUCGCGGAUCAGCAUGCCGCGGUGAAUACGUUCCCGGGUCUUGUACACACCGCCCGUCAAACAAUGGGAGUGGUGUUUACCAGAAGUCGUUAGCCUAACCGCAAGGAGGGCGGCGACCACGGUGAGCACCGUGACUAAUGUUAAGUCGUAACAAGGUAGCCGUACCGGAAGGUGCGGCUG
rnacentral:rRNA from 1 species